GACGAACGCUGGCGGCGUGCUUAACACAUGCAAGUCGAACGGAAGGGCCCUGCUUUUGUGGGGUGCUCGAGUGGCGAACGGGUGAGUAACACGUGAGUAACCUGCCCUUGACUUUGGGAUAACUUCAGGAAACUGGGGCUAAUACCGGAUAGGAGCUCCUGCUGCAUGGUGGGGGUUGGAAAGUUUCGGCGGUUGGGGAUGGACUCGCGGCUUAUCAGCUUGUUGGUGGGGGAGUGGCUUACCAAGGCUUUGACGGGUAGCCGGCCUGAGAGGGUGACCGGCCACAUUGGGACUGAGAUACGGCCCAGACUCCUACGGGAGGCAGCAGUGGGGAAUAUUGCACAAUGGGCGGAAGCCUGAUGCAGCAACGCCGCGUGCGGGAUGACGGCCUUCGGGUUGUAAACCGCUUUCGCCUGUGACGAAGCGUGAGUGACGGUAAUGGGUAAAGAAGCACCGGCUAACUACGUGCCAGCCGCCGCAGUAA
rnacentral:rRNA from 1 species